AAAUUCCUAGAAGAUAUAAUGAAAUUGUUUCAAGGAUAAAGAAGGAAAAAAGCAAGUUGUUUCUUUUUUCCCACAUUAAUUGUGGGCAUAUACACUGUACUCAGUCAUCAUAACUAAAGAAUCAAGGCUCAGAUUUCCAUGCUAAGAAAGAUAACAAGUUCAGAAAGUAUCAAGAGAGUUUUACUGACUGCUGCUUUGGGCAGAAGACAAGGGUCUGGAUAUCUGAAUUCAUUCACUCAAAUAAAAUGCAUCGAGUUUUGGCUGUAUGUCAAGUACUGCAUUAGGUACUACAGAUACAAAGAUGAAAAAAAACACAGUCCCUGAUCCCAAGGGAGUCCAGAGCUUUGAAUGUGGACCACUAAGAUGCAAUUUGGGAAUAGAAACUCUGGGGGCUAUGUCUUACUGGUCCAUUCUCAGCACCUAGCCCUGAGCCUCACACAUACAGGCAUUCAACAAAUGUUCCUGAGUGAAAGAAAGAAGCAUAUUAUUUCAGAACAGAAGACAGAGCAUUUGGAGACAUACAGUUGAUUGUAAAAUAGCAAGAAAGCAAGAGUGGAGAUGAAACACAUUUAUAAAAAAACAAAACAGGAGGACACAGGAUCAAAGCUGGGUAAAAAUAAAGAGCAAAGCCAAAUGUUACAGGCUUGGAUAUUGGUACACAGAUGAGAAACUUGAUUAAGUGACAAAAUCAGCAAAGAAUAAGUUUAAGAUUGUUUUGGAGAAAAAAAGCAAAUCCAAGUAAAAAAAUUACAGAGUUCCUCAGUUAAAGACUAAUGUCUCAUCCAGAAGAAAAGAUUUUAAAACAGAAGGCUGUACAAGAUUUUAAAACAGAGAUUUUUAUCGGUUUCAUCACAACCCUCCCUUUCAAGAAUCUUCUUCCUGUUCUGCAAAUCUAUUUGUAAGGUGAGGCUACUUUAAAAAAGCAUGUAUUUAGGAAGCAACAGCAGUGGCCACAAUAGGGACUUUGAGCUGUCACUAUUGGAGAGAGAGCCCCUACUCUCAGUACAGAGGUCCCAAGUAUCCCUGAGCUGUGUUCCAAAUUUACAGUGUCCCCCGCUCCUGCUUUAAAAGUUUAUUUUAGUCUAAAGAUUUAAAAUCAACACCCAGAUCUAUUUCUUCUCAAAUGCCAACCAAAAUCAGGCUAAAAUGUUGUGGGAUUAUCAAAGGUACUUGUAAGUUGAAAACAGAAUAAAAGCAAGAUCUAAGUGAUUUAAA